CCUUUGGUAGCUCAGCUGGGAGAGCAGAGGACUGCAGAUCCUUAGGUCGCUGGUUCGAUUCUGGCUCGAAGGA